UACAGAGGGUGCAAGCGUUGUUCGGAAUUAUUGGGCGUAAAGCGCGUGUAGGCGGCUUUGCAAGUCGGGGUGUGAAAGCCCUCAGCUCAACUGAGGAAGUGCGCCCGAAACUGCAGAGCUUGAGUACCGGAGAGGAUGGCGGAAUUCCCCAAGUAGAGGUGAAAUUCGUAGAUAUGGGGGAGGAACACCGGUGGCGAAGGCGGCCAUCUGGACGGAUACUGACGCUGAGACGCGAAAGCGUGGGUAGCAAACAGG
rnacentral:rRNA from 1 species